rnacentral:rRNA from 1 species
AGGUGUGGAUAGGGGAGAAAUUCCAAUCGAACCCGGAGAUAGCUGGUUCUCCUCGAAAUAGCUUUAGGGCUAGCCUCGUUUUAGUCUUGUGGAGGUAGAGCACUGAAUUUCCGCGGGGGCGUCAAAGCUUACCAAAGAAUAUCAAACUCCGAAUGCCAUUAAGAUGAUGAACGGGAGUCAGACUGUACGAGAUAAGUUGGACAGUCAAAAGGGAAAGAGCCCAGACCACCAGCUAAGGUCCCAAAGUGUGUGUUAAGUGGAAAAGGAUGUGGGGAUUCAAAGACAACUAGGAUGUUGGCUCAGAAGCAGCCAUUCAUUCAAAGAGUGCGUAACAGCUCACUAGUCGAGAGUCCCUGCGCCGAAAAUGUCCGGGGCUGAAACACAACACCGAAGCUGUGGAAUCAUACCUAGUAUGAUUGGUAGAGGAGCAUUCUUAAGACCGACGAAGCUGUACCGAUAAGGAGCAGUGGAGGGAUAAGAAGAGAGAAUGCCGGAAUGAGUAGCGAGAGGAAGGUGAGAAUCCUUCCGGCCGAAUAUCCAAGGAUUCCAGGGUAAAGCUGAUCUGCCCUGGGUAAGUCGGGACCUAAGGAGAGGCCGAGAGGCGUAUCCGAUGGACAACAGGUUUAGAUUCCUGUACCACAUAUGGUCAGAACUGUGGGGACGCAGAAGGAAAGCAUGAGCCAGGAAUGGAAAGACUGGUACAAGCAGAGGGGAUGGUGUGCUGGCAAAUCCGCACACGAAAGUCCUUGCUGUGAUGUGGAGCGAACCAAAGUAGCGAAGCAUGCGGACCGGCUGCCGAGAAAAGCCGCUAUUGUGCCAUAUGUGCCCGUACCGUAAACCGACACAGGUGGAUGAGGAGAGAAUCCUAAGGCCGACGGAAGAAGUAUUGUUAAGGAACUCGGCAAAAUGACCCCGUAACUUCGGGAGAAGGGGUGCCUGAGAAAUCAGGCCGCAGAGAAUAGGCUCAAGCAACUGUUUAGCAAAAACACAGGUCUAUGCAAAACCGAAAGGUGAAGUAUAUGGGCUGACGCCUGCCCGGUGCUGGAAGGUUAAGAGGAGAGGUUAGCGCAAGCGAAGCUUUGAAUUUAAGCCCCAGUAAACGGCGGCCGUAACUAUAACGGUCCUAAGGUAGCGAAAUUCCUUGUCGGGUAAGUUCCGACCCGCACGAAAGGCGUAAUGAUUUGAGCACUGUCUCGACAAUGCAUCCGGUGAAAUUGAAGUACCAGUGAAGAUGCUGGUUACCCGCGCCAGGACGGAAAGACCCCAUGGAGCUUUACUCCAGUUUGGUACUGGGAUUCGGUACUGCAUGUACAGGAUAGGUGGGAGACGAAGAAGUUAGGACGCCAGUCUUAACAGAGUCGCUGUUGGGAUACCACCCUUGCAGUAUUGGGUUUCUAACCAGCCGCUGUGAACCAGCGGUGGGACAAUGCCAGGCGGGGAGUUUGACUGGGGCGGUCGCCUCCGAAAGGGUAUCGGAGGCGCUCAAAGGUUCCCUCAGAAUGGUCGGAAACCAUUUGAAGAGUGCAAAGGCAGAAGGGAGCUUGACUGCGACACCGACGGGUGGAGCAGGUACGAAAGUAGGACUUAGUGAUCCGGUGGUAUAAAGUGGGAUUGCCAUCGCUCAACGGAUAAAAGCUACCCUGGGGAUAACAGGCUUAUCACUCCCAAGAGUUCACAUCGACGGAGUGGUUUGGCACCUCGAUGUCGGCUCAUCGCAUCCUGGGGCUGUAGUAGGUCCCAAGGGUUGGGCUGUUCGCCCAUUAAAGCGGUACGCGAGCUGGGUUCAGAACGUCGUGAGACAGUUCGGUCCCUAUCCGGCGCGGGCGGAGGAUAUUUGAGAGGAGCUGUCCUUAGUACGAGAGGACCGGGAUGGACGGACCACUGGUGUAUCUGUUGUCGACCAACGGCAUGGCAGAGUAGCCAAGUCUGGAAGGGAUAAACGCUGAAGGCAUCUAAGCGUGAAGCCCCCCUCAAGAUGAGAUAUCCCUCCUUCGGGAGUAAGACCCCUUGAAGACUACAAGGUAGAUAGGGCAGAGGUGGAAGUGUGGCAACACAUGGAGCUGACUGUUACUAAUAGGUCGAGGGCUUGAUUAA